ACGGAAGGCAGCAGUGGGGAAUAUUGCACAAUGGGCGAAAGCCUGAUGCAGCGACGCCGCGUGAGUGAAGAAGUAUCUCGGUAUGUAAAGCUCUAUCAGCAGGGAAGAAAAUGACGGUACCUGACUAAGAAGCCCCGGCUAACUACGUGCCAGCAGCCGCGGUAAUACGUAGGGGGCAAGCGUUAUCCGGAUUUACUGGGUGUAAAGGGAGCGUAGACGGUUUGGCAAGUCUGAAGUGAAAUGCGGGGGCUCAACUCCUGAACUGCUUUGGAAACUGGCGAACUAGAGUGCAGGAGAGGUAAGUGGAAUUCCUAGUGUAGCGGUGAAAUGCGUAGAUAUUAGGAGGAACACCAGUGGCGAAGGCGGCUUACUGGACUGUAACUGACGUUGAGGCUCGAAAGCGUGGGGAGCAAACAGGAUUAGAUACCCUGGUA
rnacentral:rRNA from 1 species